GUGGGAGUGGCCUGAAACUGUUUCCUUGAAAUCUGAACUCUCCAGACCAGCUCUGAUUGGUGAAAGUGCAUCGAGGUUGGAAUUCCACUCCAUUGGAAUGACCUUGCAUCUGGGAAAGACUUUCAGCACUGACAGAAGAGCAUCCUCCUAAGGAGUACAGUCAACUCUACAUCAUGUCUGUGAGGAUAUGCUCAUCGGCUAUAGUACAUGAUAUGCUGUGUUGCUCCCAUAAAACAGAUGCUGCAAGGGAACAAAAAGGCAUGAAUUUAUUUCUAAUGUUGGAAAUAUUGAUCUAGCAGAAGAAUAGUGCAUUCAUAACCAAAAUAUCUGUAAUUUUCACUAGCAGUGCAGAUUGAAAACCAUUUAUAUUGCAAACUAUGGUAUGAAGAUGGACCCAGCUUUAGGGAGACUUUAUUUUCAAUUGUCUUA